UGUUGUCUUCUCUGCCAACAACUCCUUCGCCCAAGAUGAGGUUAAUAAUUAUCGGGCACCAAGUGAAGGUGAUGAUGCUGGUGGUAGGCCAUGGCCAUGCUGCAAUGAGUGCGGUGCAUGCACCAAGCCUGUACCGCCACUAUGCCAAUGCCUUGAUCUAGUGAAGGCCUGCCAUCCAAAGUGCAAAAAAUGCGUGCGGUCGCCCAUCCCGAUCUUCCCGCCACUGUACCAGUGCAAGGACGUGGUCGCCAACUUUUGCAAGCACAAGUGCAACCCCAAGCCACUCAACGACGCGUAGCAGCACUGCCGAGUCGCCUACCGUUGCGUGCAUCCCUGCAUAUCUAUUUCUAUCUACGCAAAUAAACUUGUUGCCUUGAGUUGGGUUAUAAUUCGGUCAGUGUGGUGUGCUUCCUGUACUUUAAGAUGUGUGCUGUACCAUGUUUUCGAUCUAUUAAAUAAUGAUCAGCUCUCGGGGCUUUAAUUUGGAA